rnacentral:lncRNA from 1 species
ACGACCUUCUCCCACAGGAUGGCCUAUCAGCUACCUGACUUCUGGUGGUGGUUGUUUAGAGACUGGUGAAUGUUAGUUCUGGCCCAUAAAAACUCCAUUCUUUCUUCCAGACCUGAUUCCUCAGACCUCUGCCCUAUCGGAAGGGAAGCAGAAAAUGAUCAGGUCUCAGGGUCCAGUGUCAUUUGAGGAUGUGGCUGUGGAUUUCACCCAGGAGGAGUGGCAGCAACUGGACUAUGCUCAGAGGACCCUGUACAGGGAUGUGAUGCUGGAGAUCUAUAGCCACCUGGUCUCAAUGGGAUAUCCAGUUUCCAAACCAGAUGUCAUCUCCAAGUUGGAACAAGGAGAAGAGCCAUGGAUCAUAAAGAGACACAUACCAAAUUGGAUCUAUCCAGGAAGUGUCUAAGAUGACCACCAA